UGUUCUUGAAAGUUCUUGAAAAUGGCUUCAGUACAGUGGCCGACUUUCAAUUUUGUGCACAAUUUUGAUUCAGCUGUUUGACCAGCUGGUCCAUGUAAACUGAACAAACUCAGUUAAUUUUAUAAUCAGGAGUUC